UACGAAGGGGGCUAGCGUUGCUCGGAAUUACUGGGCGUAAAGCGCACGUAGGCGGCUUCUAAGUCGGGGGUGAAAUCCUGGAGCUCAACUCCAGAACUGCCUUCGAUACUGGAAGCUCGAGUCCGGGAGAGGUGAGUGGAACUGCGAGUGUAGAGGUGAAAUUCGUAGAUAUUCGCAAGAACACCAGUGGCGAAGGCGGCUCACUGGCCCGGUACUGACGCUGAGGUGCGAAAGCGUGGGGAGCAAACAGG
rnacentral:rRNA from 1 species